UCAUUUAGCCUUAAUUACUUCCUAAAAGCCCUAUCUCCAAGUACAGUUACAUUGGGCAUUAGGACUUCAACAUAUGAAUUAGGGAAGAGGCA